UACGAAGGGGGCUAGCGUUGCUCGGAAUUACUGGGCGUAAAGCGCACGUAGGCGGCUUUCUAAGUCGGGGGUGAAAUCCUGGAGCUCAACUCCAGAACUGCCUUCGAUACUGGAGAGCUCGAGUCCGGGAGAGGUGAGUGGAACUGCGAGUGUAGAGGUGAAAUUCGUAGAUAUUCGCAAGAACACCAGUGGCGAAGGCGGCUCACUGGCCCGGUACUGACGCUGAGGUGUGAAAGCGUGGGGAGCAAACAGG
rnacentral:rRNA from 1 species